rnacentral:rRNA from 1 species
GUCGAACGGUGACAUUUCUAGCUUGCUAGAAGAUGACGAGUGGCGGACGGGUGAGUAAUGCUUGGGAACUUGCCUUUGCGAGGGGGAUAACAGUUGGAAACGACUGCUAAUACCGCAUAAUGUCUWCGGACCAAACGGGGCUUCKGCUCCGGCGCAAAGAGAGGCCCAAGUGAGAUUAGCUAGUUGGUAAGGUAAMGGCUUACCAAGGCGACGAUCUCUAGCUGUUCUGAGAGGAAGAUCAGCCACACUGGGACUGAGACACGGCCCAGACUCCUACGGGAGGCAGCAGUGGGGAAUAUUGCACAAUGGGGGAAACCCUGAUGCAGCCAUGCCGCGUGUGUGAAGARGGCCUUCGGGUUGUAAAGCACUUUCAGUUGUGAGGAAAAGUUAGUAGUUAAUACCUGCUAGCCGUGACGUUAACAACAGAAGAAGCACCGGCUAACUCCGUGCCAGCAGCCGCGGUAAUACGGAGGGUGCGAGCGUUAAUCGGAAUUACUGGGCGUAAAGCGCACGCAGGCGGUUUGUUAAGCUAGAUGUGAAAGCCCCGGGCUCAACCUGGGAUGGUCAUUUAGAACUGGCAGACUAGAGUCUUGGAGAGGGGAGUGGAAUUCCAGGUGUAGCGGUGAAAUGCGUAGAUAUCUGGAGGAACAUCAGUGGCGAAUGCGAC